rnacentral:rRNA from 1 species
GACGAACGCUGGCGGCGUGCUUAACACAUGCAAGUCGAACGGAAAGGCCCUGCUUUUGUGGGGUGCUCGAGUGGCGAACGGGUGAGUAACACGUGAGUAACCUGCCCUUGACUUUGGGAUAACUUCAGGAAACUGGGGCUAAUACCGGAUAGGAGCUCCUGCUGCAUGGUGGGGGUUGGAAAGUUUCGGCGGUUGGGGAUGGACUCGCGGCUUAUCAGCUUGUUGGUGGGGUAGUGGCUUACCAAGGCUUUGACGGGUAGCCGGCCUGAGAGGGUGACCGGCCAAAAUGGGACUGAGAUACGGCCCAGACUCCUAAGGGAGGCAGCAGUGGGGAAUAUUGCAAAAUGGGCGGAAGCCUGAAGCAGGAACGCCGCGGGCGGGAUGAAGGCCUUCGGGUUGGAAACCGCUUUCGCCUGUGACGAAGCGUGAGUGACGGUAAUGGGUAAAGAAGCACCGGCUAACUACGUG